UUUGGGCAAGGAUACUAUGAUUUAUAGACAAAUCCAUCAUCUUCAUAAUGAAUAUUUGUACUAUGAAGUGCUUGCAGUGAUACCCAAACAACUAGAUGAGCCACAACAACAAGAGAAUCAGAAGUGACUAGAACAACAAAGAGUUCAAAGUGGGCAACAACAACCAAUUAGUAAUCGACGACGUCCAGGUUUUUGAACAUAUUGAUUAUUUUUUUCAUUAAAUGAAAAUUGUUUAAUUAUUGUAUUAGACAUUUUACUUUUUAUUUAAUUAUUUUCUAAUCUCAAUCCAUUACUAAAAAUUUUUGUCCUUCAAUCAUUACAAAACAAAUGGAUUAGGAUGGUAAACCUUCGUAAAUUUAAAUAUUAAUGUAAACAUAAAUUGAAAAUUUUUUAAAAUCGAAAGAAAUUUCAUCAAUUUAAAAAUACAAUGAACUUACAUUUUUAAAAAAUAAGUUUCUGAAAUUGAACCAAUUUUUUCAUAAAAUAUAGGUUUUUCGUGAGAGAGAAAAAUAAAUUAAUACUAAAUUUAAAAAAAUUAAUUUUAAGAAAAAAAUUUAAAUAGAAUAAAGAAAUAAAAAAUUAUGUGAAAAAUGGAAAACAAAAGUAAAGAAGUGGGCGAGUCUUUCCUAAAGAGAGAGAAGGAGAUAAAAGGGAAAUAAGCGAGUCUUCAAGACUCCCUGAGAGAGAGAAAAAAGAAAAACCUAAGGAAAGAGAGAAGGGAAAACAACAUUAUACAACAUUAUGUUUAUAAGGGGCACUUGAAAAUGACAAAACAAGUUAUAAUAAUCAAGUUUAUAGCACACAAAACCAAAACAUAACAAACGUAUAAAAAUAAAAUCAAAUUCAACUCCAAAAUACACAUCGAAGAAAAUGGAGAACAAUCACAAACGAAGUUAAAUUACUUCGAUAAAAAACCAUUAUAUUUCAUAUUCCAAUUAAUGUAGCAUUUAUAUUCUAAAAUCAAGAUUAAUACAAUUAAUUCAACUCCAAAAUUCACAUCAAAGAAAGUAGAGAACAAUAACAUAUGAAGUUAAAUUUCUCAUGGCAACGACCACUAUCAGAUUGCAACUAAUGCUACAUGAAAUUGAAUAAAAGGUUUUCAAACGUAAAUAAAAUAAAUUCUCCUUUUGUUUUUAAUUUUAAGAAAAAUGAAAAACCACAUGAAUAACAAAAAUAAUAAAGUCAUAAAAAGAAAAAUAGUAGGAUCGACUGAUUUACCACUUUUGUCUAUUUCAAUCCAAUUUUAGACAAUCAUUCGGAUUAGAAACUAAGCGUCCAUUUGGUAACGAUUUUGUUUCUUGUUUCUUGUUUCUGUUUUCCUUUUUUAAGAAAUAGAGGUGUUUGGUAACGUUUCAUGUUUCUCGUUCUAAAAAGAAGUAGAAAUGUUUCUCAUUUUAUAAGAAAUUUUUAGAAAAAAAAAAGUAGUUUUUCUCGUUAUCGUUUCUCAAUUAUUUCUAUUGGUUUCUUUUUUAUUUUUCUCAAUUGUUUCUAUUGGUUUUCUUUUCUUUUUUCUCGAUUCUUUUUAUUGGUUUCUUUUUCCUUCUUUUCAAUUCUUUUUCUAUUUCAUUUUCCUUUUCCAUUUUCCUCUUGUGAUUUUCUUUUGUUUCCUCUUAUUUUCAUCUUCUUUCCCAAAUAACCAUUCUCCAUGUGGUUUCCUUUUUCUUCAUUUAUCUCCAUCGUCUUUCUCAAAUAACCAUCCUCUUUCUUUCAUCGUCUUCGCCUCUCAUCGUCUUCCUCUACACGACACAUUUCUCUUCGCUGGAUAUGAGUUUUCAUCUUCCUCUUUGUGUGAAUUGUAUUUUCACUAUGGGUUUUUUGUCGAAUUUAUGGAUUUUUGCCAGAUCUGUGUUUUAGCCGUGAGUUUUUGUCUUCCUUUUUGUCGUGGGUUUCGGUCAUCUUCUUCAUUGUGGGUUUUUGUCUUCCUCUCGUCUGCUUGUUCUUCAUAUUUCAAUCUUCAUCUCCUUCUCUAUAAGAUUACAAGAAGACAUUCCAAUCUAGGCUUUAUAUUUUUAUUUUUUUAUGUUUAAUGAAGGUCAUAUAUUUUGUUUGAUGUUUAAUUGAAUUAAAUAUGAAUACAACAACGAUACCACUGUUCUUCCUCGCCAAGGAACCUGGACGCAAGGAUGCAUGUGUAAUGUAUAAUCUUUCCAUCUUGUCUACAACUGCAUCUUUAAUUUUUAGUACAUAUCAUACUUGUAUUUAGUUGUAAUUAUCUUGUCACACCCCGCCUCGACACCUGCUUUCUUGGCCCAAGACUUGGUGUGAUGUCAAUAGAAGUUGUUUGCCUCUUGAACAACUUUUGUUAUAGGUAUAAAAAUUAUGAAAAUAUUGUAUCAACUUCAUAGGCUUUUGUUUUUUUGUUAUACGAGUAGUAAUAUUUUUGUGUUUUGUUAUAUGUAUGAAAAUUAACUUUUUUUUUUUUUUUUUUGUUUCAAUAACAAUCAUUUCAUCCAAGUUUUAAUAUUUUUAUUUACUAAAAUUUUAAAAAUAUGCAUAAUCAACAACAUAAAAAAUUGCAAAUAUUUUGGUCAUGAGGCCACAAUUCACAUACUAAGUACACAAAGCUACUAAAUCACGUACAACUUAUCAAGAGGAUUAAAAUAGGUUUAAUUUUAGAGUUAAAGCUUUAUAUCGGUGCAUGACAGUUUGGCUUGACAUUCUUAUAUUUAAAUUAAAUGUCAUCAAACUAUGUAUUAUUCAAACAUCUUAUUUUCAGACAUCUUUAUGCCCAUUCAUGAAUGAAGUCAAAAUUCUUCUUGAGACCAUUAAACAAGUAAAAACCUUCAUCUCUAGCUACCCAGUAACAGUUUGAAUUGGUGCAAUGAUCUUCAAGCCAUGUAUGAAUCCUCUCUGGCCAAUAAACUUCAAACGUAGCAUGUUUUUGGUUGUUGCCAAAGUUGCACCAAAACAACGUAGUUCCAGCAAAAUUCUCACUAAAGUGAAAUAAGAAGCUCUUUCCUUUGGUGACUAUUCGUUCACCUGAAAUUACUGGUGGAUCUCAAACUUUACAUCACACAUUUUUACUCAAACUCAAUUAAAAAAAAAAAUUGUAUUUUUAUUAAAAGGGGGUUUAUAGGUUUAAUUUUUAAAAACUAAAAGCAAAUGACUACUAGACAAGACAUAAAUGAAUGGUUAUCCAAUCCAACCUCUCCUAAACUUUUUAAAACUCAAAUUGGAUUGAAUUUUGAAAACAUUUCUAAAAUGUAGACAACAAAACAUACAAAUCAAUAAAUUUAUGAACACAGUGGCGAUAUAAUUAAUUUUUUUAGAAAGAAACUAGAAGCCAAAAUGAGAUUCAAUUUAAGAAAAACAUGAAACUUCUAAAGUAAAAUAGUAACGAUAUAAUGCGUAAAAUUGCUAACCCAAAUCAUCAUCUUUAGAUUUGCAAUGAACGAUGAGAUUAUCGUCUGUUUGUUGGUUAAAAAUCGUCACUGUCAUGGACGUCAAUGGUCUUACAUAUUUGGAUGACUCUGCGAAACAAAUGCCAAUGUCAAUACUCAAUGCAUAAAUUACAAACACCAAUACGAAAGCAUUAUUCAUUCUUGGAUUGGAUUUAUUAGAUUUUUGUGUAUGCUUUUCCUUCCAUUCUUUGAGAUACAUGAACCAUUUAAAUAUAAUCAUUAUGAAGUUUGUAUAGGUAAUAGUUUUAUGACUUUUGUAAUCACGUAGAUCUAAGCAAAUAUACCAUUUAUUAAUGCAUUUUGACAAACAUGGGUAAUAGUUUUAUGAAUAUUAAUAACUUAGAUUUUCUUAGGAUAAAUAAGGAAAUUUUGUUGUAUUAAUACAUCUUCUCUUUUGAUCAUAAAGCAUUAUAUUUGUUGAUUACACAAAUAUAUAAUAUACAGUGUAAUAAAAUAGUUGAUGUUAUAACCGUUUGACUACAAAAUUAAACUAAUUCUUUCGAUAUUUUUAACAGUCAAAAAUUACUAUUUUUUACUGUUUUAAAUUUUCCAUUGAAGUCAGGUUCAAGAAAGUUGAAGUUCAUGACAAUUAAUAAACGUAAAGUAGGUUGAUGUCAACGACAUAUAAAAAAGCGUCAAGAAUGUAAUUGUUUAUGACAUUUAAAAAAACACUAGUACAAAACUUGGCAAUUUUAAAAAUUCAAAUUUAGUUUCAGGAAUUCAUUGUGUGUUUCAUUUGUAGCCUCAUUGCAUGGGUUUGCAUGACACGCCCCGCCCUGAAGACUUGCUUGCUUGUCUCGUGAGACGGGGUGUGACUUGAGCAUCCUUGACGCGGUCAAAUGGCAAAGACACUCAUCUUAACUUUCUUAACUUAGCUUAAUCGUCAAAACGCUUAACUUCACAAAUAUCCUUUAGACGAUAAAGAACUUAAUGCGGAAAGAUAAAACAACUUUAAACUUUUAUUCCUUAACAAGGCGUUUAGUACAAAACAUAAUGAUACAACACUUAAACAAAAGAUAAAAACCAACCCUUAAACUUAAACGCCUGACAGCUUGCCUUAAACCUUAAACCGCUUGCCUUAAACCUUAAACCGCUUGCCUUAAACCUGCCACAUAGUUGUCCAAAACGUAUAGCUAGCUUCCAAGACCAUCUCGCCUAGUUUCACUCCCAAACUACAUAACCCGACUUAGAAAAGUUAUAACUUAAAAUUCAUAACUCUUUUGAUCAAACUUCCUUCUACAAAGUAACUCUAAAAUGAGUUAACUUUCUUUUUUCCAACUUUCAGAGCAAUGAUAUCGUCCACAUAAAAUACUAAGAAAGUUAUUUUACCUAUGUUGGUCCAAACCAUAAGAUUUGAUCGAAGUAUCAAGUCUAAUGCUCCAAGAUAUGAACCCCUCAGAAUGAGAAAUAAGAUACUCUCUUCAAGAUUGCCAUUCAGAAAAGCAGUCUUGACAUCCAUUUGUCAUAUUUCAUAAUCAUAAAAUGUGGUUUGACAAGAAAAUCCUUAUAGACUUUAACAUAGCAAUAGGGGAAGAAGUUUCCUCAUAAUCAACCCCUUCCCUUUAGGCAUACCCUUUUGCUACAAGUCUAGCUUUGAAGAUUUGUACCCUUCCAGUUGAAUCUCUUUUUCUCUUAUAGAUUCAUUUGCACCCUAUAGGUUUCACCCCUUCAGGUAGAUCUACAAGCUCCCACACUGAAUUGAAGUACAUAGACUCCAUUUCAAGGUUCAUGGCUUUAACCAAUAAAUCCUCGCCUACAUCAUCUAUUACUUGUGUUAUAGGACAAUGGAUCCUCAACGUUAUCAUCUGGUAUGACAUCAUUCAAGCAUGGUUAAGUUAAAUCUUAAGAUUACACAUAUACCACUGAGAAGCAGAAAGUAGCGACUUAUCAAAAGCUUAAGAGUGACUAAGCUUGUUUAAGGAUUAAUAUAAAUAAGGGUUUUCAAUCAAAUUAUUAGUUCAUGGUUAUUUUGAGAAUUUGAAGAGAAAAGUUUUAACGUUGAAGUACUGCCAAAGAGCUUACGUGAGAAGAAAAAGAAGAAGCGAAGUCUUAAAAGUUUAAGUAUAAGUAGUGUGAGUGUUUUCUUUAAAAUAUUUUUUUAAAGAUUUUUUGGUGAUAAUUUAUAUUUGACACAAUCAUUUAGAUUUGAAGAUUUUUUUUUAAUAUUUUUUGUAUUUGUUUAGAUUUGGGUAGCCAUUUAAAUUUGUGUAGUCAAAUCUCAAUGGUACACACUCGUUUAGUUUUAGUAUAGGAUCAUUUAGAUUUUGCUAUCCAAUAUCCAAACAAUUUCUUUUCACAAUCUUAAACAACCAAAUAGAAAAAAAAAAAUAGAUCUUGAUUUUGAACCAAAUAAUAGUUUGAAGAAAAGAUUAAUUACAGAAGAAGAAAAAAUAUAUAAAAAAUUACAGAACGAAAGAAAAAAAUGAUGGAAAGCAAUGAAAAAAUUACAGAAAAAGGAUGAAAUAGAAAACAGAAAUAUUAGAAAAAAUUAGAAAAGGGAAAAAGACAAUAAAAAAGAAAAAAAAUCGCAAGAAGAGAAAGAAAGAUGAUGAUAAAAAGGACCAUCCUAAAAUAUUUAAAGAAAGAAAAACAAUGAUAAGGAAGAACAAUUUCAUAGACUUGUUCAUUAUUCAUUUUGUUACCGAAUCGUAGAUAUUUUGUCGAUGUGUGGUAUUUAUGAAAAUUAACUAACAUUUUGAUUACGUGAUUUUUAUUUUAAAAAAAUAUUAUGCAUUGAUCAAUAAUGGAGUGAAUACAACCAAAAAUAUUUGAGUAACUUUUAUCUUUUAGAAGUUAACUAGUUAUACUUUCGAAAUAUUCAAUCAAAAUUAAAAUUUUAUUUUAAAUAUUUUUAAGUCACAGGAAACUAAAUCACAUGAAUUGAUUGACAUAUUGAUGCAUCCAUUUUUGCAAAGUACUUUUACGAAACUAUUUAAAAAAAUGCUACCAUUAAAGAUUUAUUAUUGUAAUAACAAAGUUUUUACACAUCAUUAAUUUUACUAACCAAUACCUCGAUUAUAAUAAGAAAAAAAAUAUAUUAUUAAAGAAGUGGGAACAUGGAAAAACUGAUCGAAAUAAUGGAUAAAUGAAAAAAUAAUCUUAGGAAAGAAUACCGUUUAAGAGUUCAAUUGAUACACGUCUUUAUAUGCUCCAACCUUAAAAGAAUGCAUGGCAAGAAAACGUGGAGGCAGAAUAUAAAUGUAAACUUGUAAAGCAAGUAAAAUUGGAAUAAAGGAAAUUAUAUGAGAAAGCAACCAGCGCCCAGAGACACCUCCCUCCCUUCCUGCCUGCCUCCCUCUAUAAUAACUCGUCAAAAGAGAGAAAAAAAAAAAACUUUGAAAAGGACUUCUUAUGGAUAACCUCCAUAUCUGAUGCUAAUAAAGGCUGUCACGAGCAUUUAAGUUGUGCAAAGGUGGGCAAAAAUUCAAAAGCUAUCAACAUAUUUAUGCUAGAAAAAACAUGAUAAGGAUAGUAAGACUAUGCAGUCUUCCUAUCUGGGGACUAAUAACCCUGGAGAAAUCACUAAUACCAAACUUUUUCAUUACUUCCAAUUUAUUUUUCAGACUACUUCAUUGUUCCAAAUAGUGUGAAACUAAUGAAACAGAAGAAAUAUGUAUAUGGUUAUAGUAUUAAAUAUUUUCCCUGAUCGUUACUUAUAGCUUGGUUUAGAGACUGUUUCCUAAAUAAAAAAAAAAUGUGAAGAAGAUUUGUCCAACAGAAGAAAAGAAUCUCACCAAAUCAUCUUACCCGCACAAAUAUGAGGGGGAGAAAUUCUAAAUCAUACAUAUAGAAUUAACUAAUUCCACAUUCCCCGGUAGGAUCAAUCUAAUAAGUGAUAAGACCCUACCCUAACCCCUUGGAGUUCACCUUUACUAGUUUUAAAGUUCAGGGUUCUGGCCCUAAGGGAGAAUGAGCAACAAAGUACCAACCUAACCAAAUACCAAUCAAAGAGAAUUUCUCCUAAUUCAUUUCAGUACAAAAUGAGGACUCGAAGGUGUAAAAGAAUUAAAUCAAGAUUAGCAGAAGAGUCCUCCCCCUCCAAGAUCGAAGGAGGCAGUCAUCAACACACAUUUUCUAACUGCCAUUUCAUCGAAGAAAAACAAUGGGAAAAGAAAUACACGGACAUUCAGAAAAGAAAACCUCACAAAAAGAGCCAAAUAAAAAGGGCCUCCAAUCAAGUAAAAUGUGACUCAAUGAGUAAUUACGAAUAGAAGAAGACAAAGACCCAAAGAAAAACAUAGAAUCUAACAAGGUCUCCAACAUACCUAGUGGAGAUGAAUCACUGGUAAGGAAGGAAGGUUUCCAUCCCAUAUGCAUCUUGCAGAACUUGAUAGAACAGUACUAACUAUCUAUAACGCCAGGUCACUUCCAAAAAUAUGACUAGCAGGAUCUACUAAUUUAUUGUGUGUAAAUUAUAUAAUAAAUAAGCUAAUAGUUACUUUCCACCUAAAAGUAUGAAAGUAGAAUCUCCAAAUUUGAUGUAGAGAGUGGAAAUAUACAUACAUUUUUACAAAAUUGCUUCAGGAUGAAAAACAAAAGCAUCCCUAUCAUAUCAGUAAAUCCAGAGUCCACACGGCAGACGUCCUUCUUCAUGAAUAUUUCUCUAAUCUCAAAUGAUUAUUACAUCCAACUACAUAAUAUAAAAUAGAUUCAUGAUGAAAGACGCCAAGGCAUUAAACUGUACCACUUCAUAAGAUCAAAAGACUUCACCAAAACUCUCAUUCUUACAAUUCCUCAAUAGUCCUAUCCUUAAAUUCACACCAUCUCCAUUCACCAAAUCCACCAUGUUAUAAAUGAGAUUAGUAUUUGGAUUGGGUUCACAUUCCUAAACAAUGUUUUCUAAAGACUACCUCCAACCCAUGCCCCUAUGAAGCAAGGAUGACAAGUCCCGUGUAAACAUUGACCAUUCAAUAUCAGAGUUUCAUCAUCCAUAUAAUUCAGAAAAUCAUAAAUCCUCUAUACCAACAAGAAACAGAUUCCAAAAAUUUCCCAAAUCCAAAUGAAAAUAUAUACAAUCAACACACUGUAUGUUCAGUGUUCAACUACAGAUAACAUAUUACAUCAAGUUAUUAAAAUGGAGAAUAGAAACAAGUCCGCCAUAGCCAAAC
rnacentral:lncRNA from 1 species